UAUAUAUGGAUGCCGUUUUUGGUCAUCUUACUGUUACUUCCUUAAAUAAUCAGAAUUUGUUCUUCAAAUAUUAAUCAACAGGUUAAAUGCACGAAAUGACAAUGCACUUCUAUCGACAAUGAAUAUUAUAUUUUUAAAUGAGUCGUGUUUGGGUUGAUAUAUUUUGACCCGUCAACCCACGACAUGCCAACCCGAAUACGACAUGAUUGUCAGACCUAAAUUGAUGGAAUAAACAAAUUUAUAGAAAAUUUUAAUUAUAGUUAAAAGAAAAUUAACCGUCAUUCGAACAUUUUAAUAUUUGAACUUUAUAUAUGGAUGCCGUUUUUGGUCAUCUUACUGUUACUUCCUUAAAUAAUCAGAAUUUGUUCUUCAAAUAUUAAUCAACAGGUUAAAUGCACGAAAUGACAAUGCACUUCUAUCGACAAUGAAUAUUAUAUUUUUGAGAUUAGUAAACAGAUUAACAUUCUUCUAUUUUUAUUUAAACAAAUGAUAUUUGUCUUUUUUCGUCAACUGGUAGUCAUGGAGUGCUUAAAGUUCACUAUAAUCUGGUAGUCAUGGAGUGCUUAAAGUUCACUAUAAUGGAAAACAAGGAGAUUACUAUGUUAUGGUAUGAUAAUAGUUAAUAGGAUUUUAGUUUAUUUAAAUGAAUAAGUACAUAACAUUUCUUUUUUCUCUAUUUUCAUUGCAGGCCAUGGACAAGGAGGAUAAUAGGUUGACGUUACCUUAAUUUUUUUGCACUUCUUACUUUAAUUGUUCUAUACUCUAAAGUGAUAUUACUAUAAUGAUUUUAGAGAUCGUAAUUGGAAAGGAAGAUGUUGAGUAUAUUAGAUGGCUUUUGUUUUGUUUGAAUGGAAUAGUUUUAAGGUAAUUGAACAUUAUACUCUUAUUUUAAACAACAAAGGGUAAAAUAGUACAAUAUUAUUUAUGUUUUAUUUGAAAUGUUGUAGGUUUGUUGAGAUGGCACAUCAUCUAACAUAUUUCUCUUGAAAGCUGUUAAAAACUCAACAAAAUAAAAUCCCUAAAUAUGAUUAGGUCGGUGUCCUAUCGUUUCAAUUACAACAUAAAACAUUCUCUAUAUUCCUAUUUUUAGGAUAUUGCAACAAGGUAUGAUGCAAUUUAAGAGAGAAGUAAUGUAUUUUUAUGACUUUGUGUAGUAACUAAACCUUUUGUAUUUAUUUUAAUUUCCCCUGUCACAUAAAUAGAUGACACAAAUAAAUUAUAUGAAUAAAUGUAGGCAUUAGAUGAUAAAAUAGAUCUUGCUGUAGACAUGUACUCUGGAAUUGGCGAAUUGAAGUCAUGAAGGAUCAUAAAAUGAUACAAUAUUGCAUGGAAUGAUAACUGAGGUCUAAAUCAAUUAUCAAAAAAUAACAAAUGUUUGCAAUUUCUGAGUCUCCUGUGAUGGCGAAAAGAAAUCAAAGCCUAUGAAUUGAUUGUAAACAAAAACAUGAAAAUGAAGAUAAAUGCCUUCUUGACAAAAAAUAAAAUCUAAAAAUUUAUGAAAGAAAUAAAUAAUUUGGUUACAUACCUUUAAAUUUGUUUUCUCCAUGAUCAAAGAAACGUUCAAUUUUUUGGUGUUUGCGGGAUUCUUCUCUAGUUAUUAUUAGACAUUAAAUUUAGUGUUUUUAACCAUCCCUGUAAUUGUGUAGAGAAAACCUCAAAGGCUGCAAGUAGUUUGAAGAAGAUGUUGGAUGAUGGUAAAAUCGAGCAUAAUGAAGGAAAUUUUGAUGGAAAUGAGAUUGGGAUGGACAAACAAGAUAUUUAUUGACAUGACACUAGGCCCCAUUACACAUACCCAAAAUGUUGAAGGGCCCAAUUUUUUUUAAGUGUAAGUAGGCUAUAAGAAAUAAUCUUAUAAUUGGAAGCGUGAACAAUGUAUUAUUAUUCACUGAUUUUGGAACAUGAAAAGUAUAAAAAA
rnacentral:lncRNA from 1 species